CCUACGGGAGGCAGCAGUAAGGAAUAUUGGUCAAUGGACGCAAGUCUGAACCAGCCAUGCCGCGUGGAGGAUGAAGGUCCUCUGGAUUGUAAACUUCUUUUAUUUGGGAAGAAACCCACGAUUUCUAUUGUGGUUGACGGUACCAGAUGAAUAAGCACCGGCUAACUCCGUGCCAGCAGCCGCGGUAAUACGGAGGGUGCAAGCGUUAUCCGGAUUCACUGGGUUUAAAGGGUGCGUAGGCGGGCAGGUAAGUCAGUGGUGAAAUCUCCGAGCUUAACUUGGAAACUGCCGUUGAUACUAUCUGUCUUGAAUGCUGUGGAGGUAAGCGGAAUAUGUCAUGUAGCGGUGAAAUGCUUAGAUAUGACAUAGAACACCUAUUGCGAAGGCAGCUUGCUACACAGAAAUUGACGCUGAGGCACGAAAGCGUGGGGAUCAAACAGGAUUAGAUACCCUGGUAGUCCACGCCCUAAACGAUGGAUACUCGACAUCANCGAUACACAGUUGGUUGUGUGAGCGAAAGACGAUUAAGUUAAUUACCUACCGUUCGGGAAGGUAACGGACCGACCGAAGGUUAGGUUAAACGUUACAAAUUAGAAGUUAGACGGCGUUGAGACGUUGCCGAACGGACGACGACGAGGGGAGGUAGGAG
rnacentral:rRNA from 1 species